AAAAGACAAGCCCCAGUGCACAAGUGCUUUCCAAACUUCUGCUUGCCUGAUGUUUCUUAAUGUCUCCUUGGCUGAAGCAAUGGCCAAGCCCACAUUCAAGAGCUAGAGACAGAGCUUAUACCUGUUGAUGGGAGGAAGAGCAGAGUCACAUUGCAAAGGGGUAUGCCUACAAUUUUGGAAGGAAUUCGUGGACAUUCGGCAAUUUCUUACAGACAUGUGACACUUUCGGGCUGAAGCACUUAAGAGCCAGUGUGCCCUGUCCAUUUCUGUCUUCUGUCCUGUGGAUUUGGAAGCAUGUGUUGACAGAACAAUGUCUUAUGGUGAAGGAAGCCUAAACCCCUGAGUCAUUGGAUGGAGGAGAGCCCAUGUUGACCCAUAAAGGACUUCAUGGUCUCGCUCUGUCACCCAGGCUGGAGUGCAGGCGUGCUAUCUUGGCUCACUGCAACUUCUGCUUCCCGAGUUCAAGAGAUCCUCAUACCUCAGCCUCCUGAGUAGCCGGGACUACAGGCAUGCGCCACCACACCCAGGGUGGGGACUCUCGUGGAAAGGCUAGAUGAUGGAGUCACGUGCUCCCUUCCCGUUCACUAGCUGCUGAUUGGCCAACUGCUCCUGCCAGCUGUCCCUGCACUCCAGCUUCCUACCAUAUGCUCCAGAAUAACGUCUGGAAAGUGAGCCCCAUCCAUCAAGUUUGUCACACCUUGCACUCAAUCUGCUACCUUCUCUACAGUAUUUGUCCACGUCUCUGCCCUGCUUCAAAUCCUUCAGAGGCUCCCCAUCACCCACAGGGAUGAUCUUUCUGAAAUGGAUUUGGCCAUGCCAGUCUCCUGCCUGAAACAGCCCUCCUGGCUCCUUGUCACUCAAAGGAAAAGGCAAACUCCUCAAGACUGCACAUAAUGCCCACCUUCCCAACCAGCCUCUCCUACUGCCACUCUCUCUCCUACACCCUACCUUCCAAACCCUACUUGGGGUUCACCCUCACAUGCUGGAGUUUUCCCAUCUCUGAGACUUCAUUCAGGCAGUUCCUUCUGGCUUCGGAGGCUUCUUUGUUCCUAAAGUUCAUACUUUAAGACCUAGCUGAAAUAUCAAGGCUUCCUGGACUCUGCAGGUGACACGAGCCACUGUGCUCCUGGAUGCUUCAGAACCUGUGCAGAUCUCUGUCUUCACUCCUACUAUGGCAUCUCCUAGCAUGUUCUACACUGAGCUCCACUGGGCCUUGCAUGUCAGUAUCCCGAAUUCUGAAUGAAGCUUGGAACAUGGGAGGUGCAUCCACUAACAACAUGAAGAAUGAAGACAUGUAUUGACUACCUUUGACAAAAGUAUGUCAAAAGCAAUACAUCUUACUAGUGGAGCGAAGACACUGCAUGCUGACAAAGGUGAUCUCAGAUGUGAGGUCGAUGGUGCGCCAUGCAAUCAGCUUGCUGAGUGAGCCUACUUAUGCCCCAUCCCGGGGGCCUAGGGUAAGAAAAGUGCCAAGCGAAGCUGAGGAUCAGACUAAAGCUGGAAGGUGUCAAGGCACAGGCUGAGUCAUCAGAACACCUUCCCUGAAUUGUGUCAAACAAGUGUACAUGUGCUCAAGUGUAUCUGGAUUCUGAUUUGGCUGCACAGUCACUGUUUUCCAGAUGUUUGCAGAAGAAAUAUGAGCUGGAGGAGACUCACUGAAAGCUGGAACUAGAAGGAUGCACACUGCUCAUCCAAGCCAAUUCACUUAUUUUACCAAUGAUAAAACUGAGUCUCAGAGAAGUCAUACGCUUGCCCAAAGACACAGCUUGUGGUGGAGGAGUCAACACCAGAACUCUGGUCCAGGACUGCAAAAAAACACUUAACAUGUGCUAAUAAUGAGGAUAAAAGAUACUUCAAAUUCUGGGAGUUCUAUAAUGUUUGAGCACAUAUACCAUUGAAUCCUUUUAAUAACCCAUCGCUUACACAGAUGAGGAAACCAAGGCUCAUAGAAAUAAAGUGCUUUGCCAAAAGGCACAAAACUGGUCAGUAAUAAAUCUGAUCUCCAGGUUCCCAGUCCAGAACUUUCUGCAGCACUAUCUUUUUGUUCCCUUUAACUACCAGAAGCUUUAACCCAAAAUGAGGCUUCAACUAUAAAAGCUAUUUAAGACCUUAUGGCUGCGUAUCUCUGCCCUAAGUUUUCUCUUGAUCCUUAUUUUAUAUUCUAAUGUUUAAAACUUGUUCCCCAAAUUUUUAAAGUUUGCAUUCAUUUUAUUUCAAUAAGCCACGCCAAAAUCUGUGUGUCAUAAGCUAUCUAUACGUAAAUAAAUGAACGAAUGAAUGAGCAAACAAACAAAAUCUUAAGAGGCAGAGUAACAUGGUGGAAAAAUACCAGGCUUACAUUCAAUUCAAUACCACUUUGUCUAUUGUCUUCAUCUUUGAGCCUCACUUUCAUUAUCUGUCAAACAGGUCUAACAAAAUUUAUCAUUAAGCAUUAUUAUAAGUCUAAAAAUAAACAUGGAACAUAUGAAGAAGGUUUGUAUGUUAUCAGUGGUAUCUAAAUUGGCAGCUCAUAGUAGUAUUACUAGUAAUAAUAAUAUAAACAAAGAAGCCUGAUUAAUGCAAGUGAGAUGAGUUAUUUGACUCCAGAAACCCCGCCUCCAGACAUGAGUUACGGCUCUCAUUGGGUUUUAUG
rnacentral:lncRNA from 1 species